GCUCAGGAUGAACGCUGGCGGCGUGCUUAACACAUGCAAGUCGAGCGAAGCACUUAUCACUGACUCUUCGGAAGAUUUGAUAUUUGACUGAGCGGCGGACGGGUGAGUAACGCGUGGGUAACCUGCCUCAUACAGGGGAAUAACAGUUAGAAAUGGCUGCUAAUGCCGCAUAAGCGCACAGGACCGCAUGGUCCGGUGUGAAAAACUGAGGUGGUAUGAGAUGGACCCGCGUCUGAUUAGGUAGUUGGUGGGGUAACAGCCUACCAAGCCGACGAUCAGUAGCCGGCCUGAGAGGGUGAACGGCCACAUUGGGACUGAGACACGGCCCAGACUCCUACGGGAGGCAGCAGUA
rnacentral:rRNA from 1 species